AGUAUAGCAUCUAUACCGUGAAACUGCGAAUGGCUCAUUAAAUCAGUUAUCGUUUAUUUGAUAGUACCUUACUACUUGGAUAACCGUGGUAAUUCUAGAGCUAAUACAUGCUAAAAACCUCGACUUCGGAAGGGGUGUAUUUAUUAGAUAAAAAACCAAUGCCCUUCGGGGCUCUCUGGUGAUUCAUAAUAACUUAACGAAUCGCAUGGCCUUGUGCCGGCGAUGGUUCAUUCAAAUUUCUGCCCUAUCAACUUUCGAUUGUAUGGUCUUGGCUUACAAUGGUUUCAACGGGUAACGGGGAAUUAGGGUUCUAUUCCGGAGAGGGAGCCUGAGAAACGGCUACCACAUCCAAGGAAGGCAGCAGGCGCGCAAAUUACCCAAUCCCGACACGGGGAGGUAGUGACAAUAAAUACUGAUACAGGGCUCUUUUGGGUCUUGUAAUUGGAAUGAGUACAAUUUAAAUCCCUUAACGAGGAACAAUUGGAGGGCAAGUCUGGUGCCAGCAGCCGCGGUAAUUCCAGCUCCAAUAGCGUAUAUUAAAGUUGUUGCAGUUAAAAAGCUCGUAGUUGAACCUUGGGCCUGGCUGGCCGGUCCGCCUCACCGCGUGCACUGGUCCGGCCGGGCCUUUCCUCCUGGGGAGCCGCAUGCCCUUCACUGGGUGUGUCGGGGAACCAGGACUUUUACUUUGAAAAAAUUAGAGUGUUCAAAGCAGGCCUAUGCUCGAAUACAUUAGCAUGGAAUAAUAGAAUAGGACGUGUGGUUCUAUUUUGUUGGUUUCUAGGACCGCCGUAAUGAUUAAUAGGGAUAGUCGGGGGCAUCAGUAUUCAAUUGUCAGAGGUGAAAUUCUUGGAUUUAUUGAAGACUAACUACUGCGA
rnacentral:rRNA from 1 species